UGAGGAAUAUUGGUCAAUGGACGGAAGUCUGAACCAGCCAAGUAGCGUGCAGGAUGACGGCCCUAUGGGUUGUAAACUGCUUUUGUAUGGGGAUAAAGUUAGGGACGUGUCCCUAUUUGCAGGUACCAUACGAAUAAGGACCGGCUAAUUCCGUGCCAGCAGCCGCGGUAAUACGGAAGGUCCAGGCGUUAUCCGGAUUUAUUGGGUUUAAAGGGAGCGUAGGCUGGAGAUUAAGUGUGUUGUGAAAUGUAGACGCUCAACGUCUGAAUUGCAGCGCAUACUGGUUUCCUUGAGUACGCACAACGUUGGCGGAAUUCGUCGUGUAGCGGUGAAAUGCUUAGAUAUGACGAAGAACUCCGAUUGCGAAGGCAGCUGACGGGAGCGCAACUGACGCUGAAGCUCGAAGGUGCGGGUAUCGAACAGG
rnacentral:rRNA from 1 species